GGUUGCCGGGCUGUUGCUUAUUCAGGAAUGUCUCAGGAAGACAGCUUCAGCCUCUCCGGGCAGGUAGCAGAAUCUCAGGACAGUUGUCUCUUCAAAAGGAGCCCGCCAAGUCGGAAAGCUGCAUCGCAGGUGGCCCCACCUCAGACAAGGACGCAGAGAUCCAUUACUGCGCGCGGCAGGGGAGAGGAUGCUGCGCGGAGGUUCCUGCCACUUUACAGCUCACUGGCUCGCGCUACCUCACCAGCCUGGGAUGGGACGCUGCUGAAAGACCAGCCUAGCCUUCGGCUCUUCUCUCUGCGCAGGACCUUAGGGUCCCGUGCCCCUGCUGUGUCCCCUAACCACUCACUCUCGCCAAUCCCGUGCAGCAAUCGACCGCAUCCUAAGUUUUAAAUUGACAAGGUCAAAUAGGGAACCUAGUGCAUGGCAAUCCUCCAGACUGAUAAAACCCGGCCUCCCACUGUCACAAGUUCUGUGUAAAGGUGGCAGUCUCUUCUUUCACCUUCAUCUUGGCAAGAGUGUCGGGAUUUGUUUCUCUCUGAGUUGACAUCUGUAUGUUUGGAGGAAGAGGGGAAAAAUGAACAACAAAAUCUGGAAAGGAGAUAAAGAACUUGGUGCUGGAGCGUGGACCUGGGAGCAGAGCAAUCAGCAGUGCUGCCAGCUGCGAGAAGUUUCUAAUAAGGAAAUUAGAACAUGAUCAUUUCUGGCUAUGUGACUCCGGUUCUAAAUAGGUUUUACAAAUAGAUAGUGAUUGAGCCUGGAAACACAAACAAAUUGGCUUUGUAGAAUAAAGGCUGAACUACAUUUUGG
rnacentral:lncRNA from 1 species